rnacentral:rRNA from 1 species
GACGAACGCUGGCGGCGUGCUUAACACAUGCAAGUCGAACGGAAAGGCCCUGCUUUUGUGGAGUGCUCGGGUGGCGAACGGGGGAGUAACACGUGAGUAACCUGCCCUUGACUUUGGGAUAACUUCAAGCAACUGGGGCUAAUACCGGGGAGGAGCUGCUGCUGGGUGGUGGGGGUUGGAAAGUUUCGGCGGUUGGGGAUGGACUCGCGGCUUAUCAGCUUGUUGGUGGGGUAGUGGCUUACCAAGGCUUUGACGGGUAGCCGGCCUGAGAGGGUGACCGGCCACAUUGGGACUGAGAUACGGCCCAGACUCCUACGGGAGGCAGCAGUGGGGAAUAUUGCACAAUGGGCGGAAGCCUGAUGCAGCAACGCCGCGUGCGGGAUGACGGCCUUCGGGUUGUAAACCGCUUUCGCCUGUGACGAAGCGUGAGUGACGGUAAUGGGUAAAGAAGCACCGGCUAACUACGUG